rnacentral:rRNA from 1 species
GGCGGACGGGUGAGUAAUGCUUGGGAACAUGCCUUGAGGUGGGGGACAACCGUUGGAAACGACGGCUAAUACCGCAUGAUGUCUACGGACCAAAGGGGGCUUCGGCUCUCGCCUUUAGAUUGGCCCAAGUGGGAUUAGCUAGUUGGUGAGGUAAUGGCUCACUAAGGCGACGAUCCCUAGCUGGUUUGAGAGGAUGAUCAGCCACACUGGAACUGAGACACGGUCCAGACUCCUACGGGAGGCAGCAGUGGGGAAUAUUGCACAAUGGGCGCAAGCCUGAUGCAGCCAUGCCGCGUGUGUGAAGAAGGCCUUCGGGUUGUAAAGCACUUUCAGUCAGGAGGAAGGGUUAGUAGUUAAUACCUGCUAGCUGUGACGUUACUGACAGAAGAAGCACCGGCUAACUCCGUGCCAGCAGCCGCGGUAAUACGGAGGGUGCGAGCGUUAAUCGGAAUUACUGGGCGUAAAGCGUAC